rnacentral:rRNA from 1 species
UACGUAGGUGACAAGCGUUGUCCGGAUUUACUGGGCGUAAAGAGUGCGUAGGCGGUUUUCUAAGUUUGGUGUGAAAUCUCCCGGCUUAACUGGGAGGGUGCGCCGAAGACUGGAAGGCUUGAGUAUGGGAGAGGUAAGCGGAAUUCCUGGUGUAGCGGUGAAAUGCGUAGAUAUCAGGAGGAACACCUGCGGUGUAGACGGCUUACUGGACCAUCACUGACGCUGAGGCACGAAAGCGUGGGUAGCAAACAGG